AUACGGAGGAUCCGAGCGUUAUCCGGAUUUAUUGGGUUUAAAGGGUGCGCAGGCGGCCAUUUAAGUCAGCGGUUAAAUCGUGGGGCUCAACCCCAUUCUGCCGUUGAUACUGGGUGGCUUGAUUGCGGUCGAGGUUGGCGGAAUUCGUUGUGUAGCGGUGAAAUGCAUAGAUAUGACGAAGAACACCGAUUGCGUAGGCAGUUGACCAGACCGCAAAUGACGCUCAUGCACGAAAGUGCGGUGAUCGAACAGGAUUAGAUACCCUGGUAGUCCGCACAGUAAACGAUGAAUACUUGUUUUCGGCGAUAUAAUGUCGGAGGCAAAGCGAAAGCGAUAAGUAUUCCACCUGGGGAGUACGCCGGCAACGGUGAAACUCAAAUGAAUUGACGGGU
rnacentral:rRNA from 1 species